UCUCAGUUCGGAUUGAAGUCUGCAACCCGACUUCAUGAAGCUGGAUUCGCUAGUAAUCGCGCAUCAGCCACGGCGCGGUGAAUACGUUCCCGGGCCUUGUACACACCGCCCGUCAAGCCAUGGGAGCCGGGGGGUACCUGAAGUGCGUAACCGCAAGGAGCGCCCUAGGGUAAAACUGGUGACUGGGGCUAAGUCGUAACAAGGUAUC
rnacentral:rRNA from 1 species